rnacentral:rRNA from 1 species
GAUGAACGCUGGCGGCGUGCCUAACACAUGCAAGUCGAACGAAGCACUUCUGGUUUGAGAUUCGUCAAGAACUGGAUUUGACUUAGUGGCGGACGGGUGAGUAAUGUAUGAGCAACCUGCCUUUCAGAGGGGGACAACAGUUGGAAACGACUGCUAAUACCGCAUAAUGUUAUUUUGGGGGCAUCCCCGGGAUACCAAAGGAGCAAUCCGCUGAAAGAUGGGCUCAUAUCUGAUUAGUUAGUUGGUGAGGUAACGGCCCACCAAGUCGACGAUCGGUAGCCGACCUGAGAGGGUGAUCGGCUACAUUGGGACUGAGACACGGCCCAAACUCC